AUUGAACGCUGGCGGCAGGCCUAACACAUGCAAGUCGAACGCGUGGCGGACGGGUGAGUAAUGUCUUGGAACCUGCCUGAUGGCGGGGGAUAACAACGGGAAACGGUGGCUAAUACCGCAUACCAUUCGAGUAGCCCAUGUCGGAUUAGUUAUUGGGUGGGGUAACGGCUAACAAAGGCAACGGUCCGUAGCUGGUCUGAGAGGUUGACCAGCCACACGGGGACUACGACACGGUCCAGACUCCGACGGGAGGCAGCAGUGGGGAAUCUUGCGCAAUGGGCGAAAGCCUGACGCAGCAAAGCCGCGUGUAUGAAGAGGGCCUUCGGGUUGUAAAGUACUUUUGUUAGGGAGGCGUUACCCACACAAGAAGCACCGGCUAACUACGUGCCAGCAGCCGCGGUAAUUC
rnacentral:rRNA from 1 species